rnacentral:lncRNA from 9 species
GCUCAUCUCCUUUCUCAUCUAUAAAACCACUCUUUCUUCUGAACUUCAAACAGCUGUUGGUCGUCUCCAGUGAGACAAGAUACAAGAGAGUUCCUUGUGGAUGACUCCACAGUGUAAGGCCAGGUCAUUAACAUGGGAAGGAGAGAAUCAGGUUCAUACGACUCUGAGACAAAGAAAGAGGAAAGAAGCGGACUUGAAUCUCCAUGUUGACAGGUGAUAUUGGUUUGCGAUCUGGGCCCAGACACUUUAAAAACCACCAUCUUGCGCUCUACGAAGGUGGCUGCAUUUUUCUCUCCUGGCAUCUUCCACCUUCUUACAUCAAAACUAGUUUUCUCUUCCCCAGAAAGGGGUUGAAGGGAUCUGCCUGUCUUCUGGAAGGUGAAACUGAAGUUCUUUCUGAGCUGGUAAGUGUUUGGGGUUAAAUGCUGUGUUCUCGAAUUGUGCUUUUAACCACAUUUAAUUGGAGGGGCAGCCAUGAUAUCGUUUCCUGAAGCUGGUACCCUUCCACCCCUCUAACUCAGAGUUCUUUUUCUUUUGUUUGAAUUUUCUUGUUGUACUGUUCAAAUUCACGUUUUGCUUGUCUACUGGCUGACAAAGGAUAUUUAAACAGCUUUAUUCAAAGGCUGAAAUGU